rnacentral:rRNA from 1 species
CCACGGGAGGCUGCAGUGAGGAAUAUUGGUCAAUGGGCGGAAGCCUGAACCAGCCAAGUAGCGUGCAGGAUGACGGCCCUACGGGUUGUAAACUGCUUUUAUACGGGAAUAACGCGCCUUACGUGUAGGGCUUUGCAUGUACCGUAUGAAUAAGGACCGGCUAAUUCCGUGCCAGCAGCCGCGGUAAUACGGAAGGUCCGGGCGUUAUCCGGAUUUAUUGGGGUUAAAGGGAGCGUAGGCCGCAUGUCAAGCGUGCUGUGAAAUGUCCGGGCUCAACCCGGGCCUUGCAGCGCGAACUGGCGUGCUUGAGUCCGCGGAAAGCAGGCGGAAUUCGUCGUGUAGCGGUGAAAUGCUUAGAUAUGACGAAGAACCCCGAUUGCGAAGGCAGCUUGCUGCAGCGGAACUGACGCUGAUGCUCGAAAGCGCGGGUAUCGAACAGGAUUAGAUACCCCAGUAGUC